rnacentral:rRNA from 1 species
AUUGAACGCUGGCGGAAUGCUUUACACAUGCAAGUCGAACGGCAGCACGGGGCAACCUGGUGGCGAGUGGCGAACGGGUGAGUAAUACAUCGGAACGUGCCCAAUCGUGGGGAUAACGUAGCGAAGUUACGCUAAUACCGCAUACGAUCUACGGAUGAAAGCGGGGGAUCGCAAGACCUCGCGCGAAUGGAGCGGCCGAUGUCAGAUUAGGUAGUUGGUGGGGUAAAGGCUCACCAAGCCAACGAUCUGUAGCUGGUCUGAGAGGACGACCAGCCACACUGGAACUGAGACACGGUCCAGACUCCUACGGGAGGCAGCAGUGGGGAAUUUUGGACAAUGGGCGCAAGCCUGAUCCAGCCAUUCCGCGUGCAGGAUGAAGGCC